UGUAUAGCAACUGCUAGUUGCACUAAAAACUUUAGUGUAAAAUCAACUUAGUUGAAUAAAAUUCUGGGUAGAAUUAUGAUAAUGACAUUAUCUGUCCAUAAGUCUUGACCAAAUUACGUGCCAGCAGUCGCGGUAAUACGUAGAAGACAAGUGUUAUUCAUCUUUAAUAGGUUUAAAGGGUACUUAGACGGUAAAUCAAGCCUUAAAAAGGGACUAAUUUUCUAGAGUUUUAUGUGAAAAAGUAUUAAAGUACUGCUGGUGUAGAGAUGAAAUUCUGUCAUACCCUUGAAUGGCACAGGUUAAGGCGAAAGCAUCUUUUUAUGUAAAAACUGACGUUGAAGGACGAAGGCUUUGUGUCUCGAACAGGAUUAGAUACCCUAGUAGUCUAAGCAGACAAUGAUGAAUGUCAUAGAUUAGAUGUAAUUUGAUCUAUAAAUGAAAGUGUAAGCAUUCCACCUCAAGAGUAAUUUGGCAACAUUGGAACUGAAAUCAUUAGACCGUUUCUGAAACCAGUAGUGAAGUAUGUUGUUUAAUUUGAUAAUCCGCAAAAAACCUUACCACAAUAUGAAUAGAUAUAUUUUAUCAUACAAGCGUUGCACGGCUGUCUUCAGUUAAUGGCGUGAGACUUUGGUUAGUUCCAUAAAAUUAACGUAAACCCUUACUUUAUUUACUAAUAAAGUAGUUCACCGCUAUAUUGGAUGUCGAUAACAGGGAUCAAGACAAGUCAUCAUGACCUAAAUAUUAUGGGCUAUAGACGUGCCGCAUAUGCCUUACAAAGAGAUGCUAAAUUGUGAAAUUAAGCUAACCUCCUAAAAU
rnacentral:rRNA from 1 species